rnacentral:tRNA from 1 species
GCAUUGGUGGUUCACUGGUAGAAUUCUUACCCUCUUUUUUUUAUGCAGGAGAUCCAGGUUCGAUUCCCGAUCAAUGCA